GAUGAAGAACGUAGCGAAAUGCGAUAAGUAAUGUAAAUUGCAGAAUUCCGUGAAUCAUCGAAUCUUUGAACGCACAUUGCGCCCCCUGGCAUUCCGGGGGGCAUGCCUGUCCGAGCGUCAUUUCUGCCCUCCAGCCCGGCUGGGUGUUGGGCGCUGUCCCCCCGGGGACACGCCCCAAAGGCAGUGGCGGCGCCGCGUCGGGUCCUCGAGCGUAUGGGGCUUUGUCACCCGCUCGGGACGGACUCGUCGGCGCUGGUCUUCCUCCAGGCGACCCUUCGGGGCUCGUCUUCCUUCGGUUGACCUCGGAUCAGGUAGGGUUACCCGCUGAACUUAAGCAUAUCAAUAAGCGGAGGA
rnacentral:misc_RNA from 1 species